rnacentral:tRNA from 1 species
UCCCUGGUGGUCCAGUGGUUAGGACUUGGCACUUUGACUGCGGAGGGCCCGAGUUCAACCCCUGGUCAGGGAG